CGCAGGGUAGGCUAAGGCAGACCGCGAUGCACAGGCAUACGAGAUAGGGGUUCGAGUCCCUUCCCUGCGA
rnacentral:tRNA from 1 species